CUGUUCGAGCUUUUUUCCGGUGUCCACAGGUGUGGAUGAAAAGGGAAGAGGGGUGUAAAUCCCCCGCGGACCCGCCACUGUAAGCGACGACAAGGGAUCACAUGCCACUGGCCACGGGCCGGGAAGGCGAUCCGGAGGACGAAUCGUGAGCCAGGAGACCUGCCGGAAAGGGUCACUACAC
rnacentral:ncRNA from 2 species